UUUUGAAUUCUGAAAGAAAAUAAUAGUCUUUCCAGAAAUUAAGAGGCUAAAAAUUAGUAAAGUAGAUGGACAUACUCAUAGAAAUAAACUGGGA